GAGGCCCUCUUGGACAACACUUCCUCUCCUGCCCAUGGUGGGAGGUUGGGAAGGACAUUCCCCCAUUUCCAUUUGCUCUGCCAUUCAAAACCUUGUGAGGGCCCUCAGGGAAGAAUCCCUUUGCAGAUGAGGAAACUGAGGCCCCACGUGGUGAAGACAAUUUUUACCCGAAUCCACCCACAACAAGAGACCAUUUGGAUAAUGUACAUUAUGGGAAGAGAACAGAGUCUCAGUGAAGAUCAUGUUUCCCCAGCAACACAGGUGCCAGGAGUAGCUGGCUCUGGUCCCAGCCCAGACUCAGAAAUCCUGAGCCACCAGACCAUUUCUAGAUUAACAAUGACCCACUGGAAACCAGUGUCAGCAUAACAACAGUUACGAGAGCUAAACCUACAAAAUAGAAACACAAGUAAAACUUGUUCAAGUGGUUUGCAGUCAUUGAACAUAGAUCAGCUCCUAUGAAAACAAACUCCAUGGGUUUUCUUUGAUGGCAGUUCUGCUCUAAAGAUGGAUAAGGAAGGAGGUUCCAAGAUGGCCGAAUAGGAACAGCUCCAGUCUACAGCUCCCAGCAUGAGCAACGCAGAAGACAGGGGAUUUCUGCAUUUCCAAUUGAGAACACAGGAGCUAUGUGGAGAGUUGAUGGAGGGACAUUCCAGGCAGAGAGAACAGCAAACACAAAGGCCUUGAAGGGCUCAACACCACAUGGAAGCUGCCAAGGCUUGGGGCUCGCACCAUCUGAAGACAUGGUCUGAACUCUACGUUGGCCCUUUCAGCCAUGGCUGGAGCAGCUGGAACGCAGGGCAUCAAGUCUCUUGGCUGCACACAGCUCAGGGAAGCUGGACCUGGCCCAUGAAACCACUUUUUCUUCCUAUGCCUCCAGACCUGUGAUGGGAGGAGCUGCCAUGAAGACCUCUGACAUGCCCUAGAAACAUUUUCCCCAUUGUCUUAGGGAUUAACAUUCUGUGCCUUGUUGCUUAAGUAAAUUUCUGCCUCAUUGUCAGGCUGCAAAUUUUCUA
rnacentral:lncRNA from 1 species